UACGUAUGGUGCAAGCGUUAUCCGGAUUUACUGGGUGUAAAGGGAGCGUAGACGGCUGUGUAAGUCUGAAGUGAAAGCCCGGGGCUCAACCCCGGGACUGCUUUGGAAACUAUGCAGCUAGAGUGUCGGAGAGGAAAGCGGAAUUCCCAGUGUAGCGGUGAAAUGCGUAGAUAUUGGGAGGAACACCAGUGGCGAAGGCGGCUUUCUGGACGAUGACUGACGUUGAGGCUCGAAAGCGUGGGGAGCAAACAGG
rnacentral:misc_RNA from 1 species